rnacentral:RNase_P_RNA from 1 species
CAAGCUGGGCAGCCGCGGUAGCGUACGCUAUCGAGGAAGGUCCGGACUCCGCAGAGCAGGAUAGCGGCUAACAGCCGCCCAGUUGAGUACUUCAGCUGAGGAAUAGGGCCACAGAGACGAGUCUGCGCGUAGGGCAUAGUUUACUAUGCUCAGUUACGGCCAUCUCCGUAAUUUUGUUGGCGCUGAGUCAACCGUGCGUGUAGGGUGAAACGCGGUAACCUCUAUCCGGAGCAACACCAAAUAGGCAUACGUUAUUGUGCAAGCAAUAAAAGGGCGGCUCGCUCAAGUAUGCGGGUAGGUGGCUAGAGUGCUGCAGUAAUGCAUCACCCAGAGGAAUGGUUGCCAACCAAGCGUGCUUGGUUUACAGAAUCCGGCCUAUAGGCUUGUUCCU